UACGUAGGGUGCAAGCGUUGUCCGGAAUUAUUGGGCGUAAAGAGCUCGUAGGCGGUCUGUCGCGUCUGCUGUGAAAACUCAGGGCUUAACCCUGAGCUUGCAGUGGGUACGGGCAGACUAGAGUGCGGUAGGGGAGACUGGAAUUCCUGGUGUAGCGGUGAAAUGCGCAGAUAUCAGGAGGAACACCGGUGGCGAAGGCAGCUCGCUGGGACGGUACUGACG
rnacentral:rRNA from 1 species